rnacentral:misc_RNA from 1 species
GAUGAAGAACGUAGCGAAAUGCGAUAAGUAAUGUGAAUUGCAGAAUUCAGUGAAUCAUCGAAUCUUUGAACGCACCUUGCGCCCUUUGCCCAUUCCGAAGGGCAUGCCUGUUUGAGUAUCAUGAACACCUCAACUCUUCAUGGUUUUCCAUGAUGAGCUUGGACUUUGGGGGUCUUGCUGGCCUGUGGGUCGGCUCCUCUCAAAUGAAUCAGCUUGCCGGUUUUUGGUGGGCAUCACAGGUGUGAUAACUAUCUACGCUUGUGGUUUUCCACCAGCGUAACCUUCAGCAGUGGAGGUUCACUGGAGCUUACAAAUGUCUCUCCUCUGUGAGGACAGCCCUUUGAAUGUUUGAUCUCAAAUCAGGUAGGACUACCCGCUGAACUUAAGCAUAUCAAUAAGCGGAGGA